GUAGUUCUUCAGGGCGGGGCGCAAUUCCCCACCGGCGGUAAAGCCCGCAAGCUCUUACGAGCAGAUCCGGUGUAACUCCGGGGCCGACGGUGUAGUCCGGAUGAAAGAAGAACUAA
rnacentral:ncRNA from 2 species